ACUGUCGAGCAGCGGCUUGCUGCCUGGUGCGUGUUCGGUGCCGGGCACGCGGGUGCAACGUCCGUCAGCGGCA
rnacentral:tRNA from 1 species